GGCCGUAUGGCCCAAUGGCAAGGCGCUUGACUACGAUUGAUUGCUUACCCCGCACAACGUCAUCAAGAGAUCGCAGGUUCGACCCCUGCUACGGUCA